UACGUAGGGUGCGAGCGUUGUCCGGAAUUAUUGGGCGUAAAGAGCUCGUAGGCGGUCUGUCGCGUCUGCUGUGAAAACCUAGGGCUUAACCCUGGGCCUGCAGUGGGUACGGGCAGACUAGAGUGCGGUAGGGGAGACUGGAAUUCCUGGUGUAGCGGUGAAAUGCGCAGAUAUCAGGAGGAACACCGGUGGCGAAGGCGGGUCUCUGGGCCGUAACUGACGCUGAGGAGCGAAAGCAUGGGGAGCGAACAGG
rnacentral:rRNA from 1 species